GUUGGUUGUCUUAUGUGUCUAGCCUUACGGAUAUUUGGUUACAAGGAAUGGGAAACAACUCAAGUCAAAUUAAACAAAAAUAGAAGGCAUCAAAUGCAAGUCAAAGGAAGAAAGCUACAAAACCAAUUCAAUAACAUCUGAAGCCUGAGAGGAAAAUGAAAGACAAGAGGCUGUGGCUGCAGCUGUGUCUGCUGACAACAGGAUAAAAAUGGUUGCAUUGAGAGUGAGCUGCAUUUUCACCAGGCAGAGCAAACUGGGAGCUAAUGUGUUUCUUGGAAAUCAAAAGAGGACUCCAAGAAUAGAAGCUUUUAAGAGGACUGGCUGGAGAGUCAAAGAAGAUCCAUUAGCUUCUGGACCACUGAAAACCUAAGGGCUGAUGGUGGGGCAGGGUAAGUGGCCGGCAGCAGGGAGACAUUUUCUGUAUCUAGGAUGGUAUAGAAAAGACCCCCACUGGACAGAUCUACAAAGAACAACUAAAGAGUCUCAUGGUAGAACAGGUCAGCUCUGGACAUCAUUCAAAUCCAGGGGAGCCUCUUAUACUGGAUUGCAAUUGUGUUGGGCAUGUACAAUGGUGUUCUUUUUCUCUAAUGGCUUCUUUCUUCUGGUCAGUCUCUGGAAGGGGUGAAAGAGUGAGAAAUAGUAGCCAGCAAGUGUAGAAAGAGAUGUGGAAGAGAGAACGGGGAAACAGAAAUUGCAUUUCUCCCACGUUCCAAAUGUAGGUUAUCCGGGUUAAAUGUAGGCCCCACCUGACUAGGCAAAGAUUUUUUCCUUUGUUGUGAGUUUGAAAAGAACUAAACAUCAUACUGAAGUGGAAUUAUUGAAAUUGGAUAGACCCAGGUUCAAAUGUUGACUCAGUUAUGUAACAUCUUGUGAAUUUUGACAGGUUCCUUAACUCCACUGAGUCUGUUUUUAUACCCAUGAAAUGGAUGUAGGAUUGUUAUGAACAUUAAUUGAAAAAUUAUAUAUAAAAUAAGUGUCCAGCAUAGUUCCUGGCACAUACUAGUGCUUGAAAACUACCAAUCAACUUCAUCAAUUUGUGUUAUGCCCUGCAUGGGCACAUAUUUGUCCUGAUACUCUUCAAAAUGUAGAAGUACCCACAGAAAAAUUGUCUCAGUUCAAGCACAGUAUUAUUAAUAUUCUACUGAGUACUAAGUAUGGUCGUUAAUAGUCUAAUAUGAGGAAGUCAAAACAGUCUCUGGAAAAAGUCUUUCUGCAAGCUUUUUGAAGCUUCAGGGAUUGCUACAAAGACUGGAAAAUCGAUCUUGAACUCAGCCUUUUAAUUUCUUUUCAUGAUUACUGUUCUCAAAUGGAGAAUGCAAUUAAAAUUAAUGCUGUCUUAGUUCACUUGCCUCAAAAUAAACAUUGAUCAAAUUC
rnacentral:lncRNA from 1 species